UACACUCCUGCGGGAGGCAGCAGUGGGGAAUAUUGCACAAUGGGCGCAAGCCUGAUGCAGCCAUGCCGCGUGUAUGAAGAAGGCCUUCGGGUUGUAAAGUACUUUCAGCGGGGAGGAAGGCAAUACGGUUAAUAACCGUGUUGAUUGACGUUACCCGCAGAAGAAGCACCGGCUAACUCCGUGCCAGCAGCCGCGGUAAUACGGAGGGUGCAAGCGUUAAUCGGAAUUACUGGGCGUAAAGCGCACGCAGGCGGUCUGUCAAGUCGGAUGUGAAAUCCCCGGGCUCAACCUGGGAACUGCAUUCGAAACUGGCAGGCUUGAGUCUUGUAGAGGGGGGUAGAAUUCCAGGUGUAGCGGUGAAAUGCGUAGAGAUCUGGAGGAAUACCGGUGGCGAAGGCGGCCCCCUGGACAAAGACUGACGCUCAGGUGCGAAAGCGUGGGGAGCAAACAGGAUUAGAAACCCCGGUAGUCCCAUG
rnacentral:rRNA from 1 species